AUUGAACGCUGGCGGCAUGCCUUACACAUGCAAGUCGAACGGCAGCACGGGGGCAACCCUGGUGGCGAGUGGCGAACGGGUGAGUAAUGCAUCGGAACGUGCCCAGUAGUGGGGGAUAACCAGUCGAAAGACUGGCUAAUACCGCAUACGACCCAAGGGUGAAAGCGGGGGACCGUAAGGCCUCGCGCUAUUGGAGCGGCCGAUGUCUGAUUAGCUAGUUGGCGGGGUAAGAGCCCACCAAGGCGACGAUCAGUAGCUGGUCUGAGAGGACGACCAGCCACACUGGGACUGAGACACGGCCCAGACUCCUACGGGAGGCAGCAGUGGGGAAUUUUGGACAAUGGGGGCAAGCCUGAUUCAGCCAUGCCGCGUGCGGGAAGAAGGCCUUCGGGUUGUAAACCGCUUUUGCCAGGAACGAAACGGCGCAGGCCAAUACCUUGCGCUAAUGACGGUACCUGCAGAAUAAGCACCGGCUAACUACGUGCCAGCCGCCGCAGUAAUAC
rnacentral:rRNA from 1 species